AACGAACGCUGGCGGCGUGGAUUAGGCAUGCAAGUCGAACGAUUCUGCAGGCGUAGCAAUAUGUUUGCAGGAGAGUGGCGUAAGGGUGAGUAACGCGCGGGUAAUCUACCUCGAAGUUGGGAACAGCCCGGCGAAAGCUGGGUUAAUACCGAAUGUGGUCGUCUGCCGCAUGGCGGACUGUCUAAAGGCGGGGAUCGCAAGACCUGUCGCUUCGAGAUGAGCCCACGUCCUAUCAGCUUGUUGGUAGGGUAACGGCCUACCAAGGCUUACGGGUAGCUGGUCUGAGAGGAUGGUCAGCCACACUGGGACUGAGACACUGCCCAGACUCCUACGGGAGGCUG
rnacentral:rRNA from 1 species